rnacentral:rRNA from 1 species
UACAGGGGGUGCAAACGUUGCUCGGAAUUAUUGGGCGUAAAGCGUCCGCAGGUGGCAAUGUAAGUCUGCUGUCAAAGCGUCUGGCUCAACCAGAUAAAGGCAGUGGAAACUACAUAGCUAGAGUAAGGUAGGGGUAGAGGGAAUUCCUGGUGUAGCGGUGAAAUGCGUAGAGAUCAGGAAGAACACCGGUGGCGAAAGCGCUCUGCUGGACCUUAACUGACACUGAGGGACGGAAGCUAGGGGAGCGAAUGGG